UGGCGGCGUGCCUAACACAUGCAAGUCGAACGGAUUUGAGGGGCUUGCUCCUCAAGUUAGUGGCGCACGGGUGAGUAACGCGUAGAUAAUCUGCCUGAUGAUUUGGGAUAACACUUCGAAAGGAGUGCUAAUACCGGAUAAGCCCACGGCGUCUUUGGACACUGCGGGAAAAGGGGGGGACCUUCGGGCCUUCUGUCAUCAGAUGAGUCUGCGUACCAUUAGCUAGUUGGUAGGGUAAUGGCCUACCAAGGCUACGAUGGUUAGCUGGUUUGAGAGAAUGAUCAGCCACACUGGAACUGAGACACGGUCCAGACUCCUACGGGAGGCAGCAGUGGGGAAUUUUGCGCAAUGGGCGAAAGCCUGACGCAGCAACGCCGCGUGAGUGAUGAAGGCUUUCGGGUCGUAAAGCUCUGUCGAGGGGAAAGAAGUGUACGGAGGUUAAUACCCUCUUUACUUGACGGUACCCCUAAAGGAAGCACCGGCUAACUCCGUGCCAGCAGCCGCGGUAAUACGGGGGGUGCAAGCGUUGUUCGGAAUUAUUGGGCGUAAAGAGCGUGUAGGCGGUUUGUUAAGUCUGUUGUGAAAGCCCUGGGCUCAACCCAGGAAGUGCACUGGAUACUGGCAGACUUGAAUACGGGAGAGGGUAGUGGAAUUCCUAGUGUAGGAGUGAAAUCCGUAGAUAUUAGGAGGAACACCGGUGGCGAAAGCGGCUACCUGGACCGAUAUUGACGCUGAGACGCGAAAGCGUGGGUAGCAAACAGGAUUAGAUACCCUGGUAGUCCACGCCGUAAACGAUGAGAACUAGGUGUUGCGGGUAUUGACCCCUGCA
rnacentral:rRNA from 1 species